GCUCAGGAUGAACGCUAGCUACAGGCUUAACACAUGCAAGUCGAGGGGUAGCAGGGUAGCAAUACCGCUGACGACCGGCGCACGGGUGAGUAACACGUAUCCAACCUUCCCAUAACUCGGGGAUAGCCUUUCGAAAGAAAGAUUAAUACCCGAUAGUGCUUAUAUAAGGCAUCUUAAAUAAGUUAAAGAUUUAUUGGUUAUGGAUGGGGAUGCGCUCCAUUAGAUAGUUGGUGAGGUAACGGCUCACCAAGUCUUCGAUGGAUAGGGGUUCUGAGAGGAAGGUCCCCCACAUUGGUACUGAGACACGGACCAAACUCCUACGGGAGGCAGCAGUGAGGAAUAUUGGUCAAUGGGCGAGAGCCUGAACCAGCC
rnacentral:rRNA from 1 species